AAAUACAAAAAACCCCUUGUAAAUAUCCGCUUUUUCACUUUUCUCCCCCAACUUUCAAAAAACCUAUAAUUUGUCCGCUUAAAAUUUUAAAAACGUUUUCAGAGGGUUACGGCAUUAAUGGAGAGGAAAAAAUGACCAAUUUAUCCUUACUUAUUUCAUAGAGAAAAAUAAUUUUUUUAAUAUAUUUCUGUCAUUUUUAAAGGCAUUUUCGGUAAAUUAUAAAAAAUGUACGGCAUAGUGACGGAAUCUUGACGGUCUGAAUGUAUCAACUUGAAAUUUUGAGAGAAAAAAAAUACAUAUUUUUGAUAGUCGGAGAAGGAAAAGUAAAAAAGCAGGCAUUUACCGAGAGAUUUUCUGUAGCCAUUACAAAAUCUUAAGGUUUUUCUUAAAAAAAAAAAAACAAAAAAGUAAAACAUAACCUUUAUACUAUGAUGCAUAGCCCAAUUUCAAAACAGCUAAAAACUAAAGGAAAUCUUACGUAACAUGAUCAGCACACACAACUGGUCCCUAAAUCUAUAAAAUAUAAGCUUCUACGCAUAAACUUUUAACUUUUAAGUGAGGCAUUUUCACAAACACAUGCAAGGCAUAGUAAUAACCGCAACCAAAACAUUCAGAUUUCGGAGAAAAGUACGAAACAACAACAGCUUUUCCCUGAAGCAAAUUUUGGGCGCAAAUUUUGGGCUUCAGCUUUUCCCUAAAGCGGCAUACUCACAAACAGAUGGAGGGCCAAAAAAAAAAGAAAAAAAGCAUUAUUAGCUGCAAUCAAUACAUUAAAAUGAUGGACUAAUUAAUGAUUAUGUAUGGAGUAAUAAGAGAAUUAGUGCUGAUGAGGAGAACAGAGGAAGGGAUGGGAAGCUUACGAUGCCGAGCUCGGACUAGAUUACAAAACAAAAUUACUUUUGUGUCGUUGUUCGUGCGUUUUUACGGCCCGCUUGGUUUGGUACACAAGAGCGGUGGAAUUCAAAUUACAUUAUUUUCGAUAUUUUUAUUUUAUUAUAAAUAGAAAAUAGGAAAAACUUUAAAUACCCCCUGUGGUUUCACUCUUUCUCACUUUAGUAUCUUAUGGUUUGAAGGGUACCUUGUGGUUUUGCACUUUCCCACUUUAAUACUACUAACUUGAUACACUUUAAACCACAGAGUACUAAAGUGAGAAAGUGCAAAACCACACGGUAAACCACGGGAUACUAACUUGAUACACUUUAAACCACAGGAUAUUAAAGUGAGAAAGUGUAAAAUCACAGGGUACAAAAGUACUAACUUGACACACUUUAAACCAUAUGGUACUAAAGUGAGAAAGUGCAAAACCAUAAGGUACUAACUUGAUACACUUUAAACCAUAGGGUACUAAAGUGAGAAAGUGUGAAACCAUAUGGUACUAACUUGAUGCACUUUAAACCACAUGAUACUAAAAUAAAAAAGUGCAAAACCACAGAGAGUUUUUUGAAGUUUUCCCUAGAAAAUAAUAUAAUUUAAGUUAUAUUAGAUCUCUAUUUUAUUUAUUUUUGACUUUUUCUUCUAAAGUACCGAAAUUUUAUUUUGCCACAAUCAAUUUUCUCUAAAAAAUUUAUUAAGUAUUAAAACCUAACUCAAUUGCUUUAGAAUGGAUUAGAGUUAACAUUUUUUAUAAUAGCUUAAUAUUACUUCCAAAUAAUAAUGAGAAAUUUAAUUAUUUAAGAAAUUAGAUUUUAUACAGAUAAAUUUACCAUUAUAUUUAGAAGGUAGCUAGAUUCAUUUACUUAUAUCAAAAUAAAUAAUAAAACUAAAAAAAUUAAUUUCAACAACAUCAACUUACAUCAAAACAAACAGAAAAAGUAAUUGAAUUCAAUUUCAGACUGUAUGAGCUACAUCUAAAUAAAUAAAAAAAAACUACACUUCAAAAAACCUCAAACACUAAUGCACUUCAGUUAUGUUCAAUCUAGCGAUUCGUCAAUCCAAACACUCUCUUUUCCUGUUUGGUUGCAGCCUCAGGGUUAUUGUAAUCCAACACUAACCAGCCUCAGGGUUAUGUAAGAGACAACUUACCUCUCUCUUACAUAACCAGACACUUGUAGAGACUUCUAGUCUUUGAAUACCCCCAUGUGGUCUAGUGAAUUCCCAUUUAGUACUUUUUAGAGUAUAGCAAUAGCAUUGUUCAAGAAGAUAUCAGUGUUUGUUUGUACCUAUUGCAAAAUAUAGUGCUAAUUGAUAAAAUUUCAUGUAAAAUAGACUUUUUACAGCUACUUUUCCUAAAUGCGAAAGCAGAGUUCCAAAUUUUAGCUUUUGGCUAUGCAAACAAACAAGGAUGAAUUUGAAUAUUUAUUAAGGGGCAAAUAGGUAUUUUCCAAUUAAUAACUUUAGGUCCCGUUUGGUUGAGGGGAUAAGCGGGGAUAAUGAAAGUUAUCCCCGCUAUUCCGCCAAACGGGAUGAAAAUUGGCCGGAAUAUUUUAUCCCGGUCAAACUUUGCUAUUCCCGGUUAUUCCGGGAUAGCAAGGAAUUUAUUAUUCCACCAUUUUGGUGGAAUAGCGCUAUUCCAAUGCUAAAUUUCAAACUUAAUUAAAAUUAUAAAUUGAAUUAAAACUAAACUAUAUAAAUAUAAUAUAUAUUAUAUAUUAUAAUACAUUAUUUUUAUUAUUAAAUUAUUAAUUAUACUAUAUUAAUACAUAUUAUUUAUAUUUAAAUAAUAUAAUAAAAUUUAUAAUAAAUUAUAUUUAAGUAUUAUAAUAAAUUCUUUUUAUUAAAUUUAAGUUUAAGUAGANAUCUAGCGAUUCGUCAAUCCAAACACUCUCUUAGUGUUGGAUUACAAUUAGGAGAAUGCUAACCCUGAGGCUGCGUUUGGUUGGGGGGAUAUUUCAGAACAAGGUUUUUGGAAAUUUUUUUAUUUAUAAGAGCCACAUUAUUUUGACUUAUUAAUAUUUAAUUUAGUAAAUUAAUUUAUUUUAAUACUUAAUUUAUUAAAUCAUUUUUUAUUAUUUUAUUUAAGGAUAAAUUUAUUAUUUUAUUUAAUUUUUAUCUUUCAAACCCCUUAUUCCAACAUAAACAUUCAAACACUAUCAAGAAUAUUCUUUAGGAACAAGCAAAUAACAUUCAAAUGUAAUAUACAACUUAUUCUACUUUAUACCGGAAUAUUUUUUAUUCUCGGGAACAACAAAAGUUAUUCUUCAAAAUUUAGUUUUCUAGCCAAACGCAGGCUGAGAGUUUAAAUUAUCUAGAUUUUAAUAUUUAAAAUAAAAAAAUGGGCAAGACAAUGGUCCAAAUACAGGCUCUUAGAUAAAGAAUGUCAAAUUUACACCUCUUUUUGUAUAAGCAGCAUUCUUCUUUAUAAUUAUUUUUAGCUAAACUUUAAUUUUUCUAACUGGCUUUAGCGUAUUUUUACUUAAUCAUCUUACUAUUGAAAAAGAGGCACAUAAUUAUUAUAUAAUUUUAUUUUUAUUUACUAUAAGAAUAUAUCGUUAACACAACAACAAAAUAAUACUUUUGUGAACUACAAGAAUAUGCAAUAUAAUAUUUUAUCAUUUUGUAUUCUGCAUGUCGUCACCAUGAAGUUUCAAAAACAAAUCACUUUGCUCUAUUUAAGUAUAUUUUAGGCUAAAUUAUAUAAAAUUCCCUUGUCAAAACUUGAUUUUUCACUUUUCUCCUAUCAUUUAAAAACCUACACUUUGCCCCCUUAUAAAAUAAAAAAUAUUCACUUUGUCCCCUGCCGUUAGCAAUCCGUUAGGGUUCCGUUUAUAAAAUAUUAUUAUAUAGUUUUUUAUGCCAAAAAUGUCCUCAACCUUUUCUCCUGUGAACAUGGUGAGGAGCAAACUGAUGAGGGGCAAAAUGGUCAUUUUAUCAUCACAGUUCACACUGUACCCCCUGUAAAUAUUUUUUAUUUUACAAGGAGGCAAAAUGUAGUUUUUAAAUGACAAGGGGAGAAUGUGAAAAAUUAGAUUUUGACAGGAAGGUUUUUUGUAAUUUAUAUUUUAAUUAAAAUUUCUGGAUGGAUAAAGAGACAACUUACCUCUCUCUUACAUAACCAGACACUUGUAGAGACUUCUAGUCUAAAUAUAAGAAAAAACUUUGAAUACCCCAAUGUGGUUUAGUGAAUUCCCAUUUAGUACUUUUUAGAGUAUAGCAAUAGCAUUGUUCAAGAAGAUAUCAGUGUUUGUUUGUACCUAUUGCAAAAUAUAGUGCUAAUUGAUAAAAUUUCAUGUAAAAUAGACUUUUUACAGCUACUUUUCCUAAAUGCGAAAGCAGAGUUCCAAAUUUUAGCUUUUGGCUAUGCAAACAGACAAGGAUGAAUUUGAAUAUUUAUUAAGGGGCAAAUAGGUAUUUUCCAAUUAAUAACUUUAGUGACUAACAGAUUCACUGCACAAGCAAAACUGGGAAGCACCAGUUGUAGAUUUAUUUUUUCAUGUCCCACAAGAAGCAGAAGCAAUUUGAAUUUAAACUCCCAAAUACUCUACUACGAGCUGACUCUAAUUCCAGCCAAAGCAGAAACUAAGUAAAACAGACUUUUGAAAUCUUUAUUCUAACUUACCGUCGCCGAAGUAAAAGCUUCAAGUUUCUCCAUUUCAAAACACUCUACUUGAUAUAACUGUAGUUGAAUCAAAAGUGGAAGAGGGGGCCAAAAAGCCACUCAGUUUAAUCAGUAGAUGUAGCUAACUAAAUUUGAAAGUCUUAUUAACUUAAUGUGAGUCAUUUUCCAUCAAAUAAAAGUUAAUAGGAAGGUCAUAAUGAGAAUGUUAACCCUUGCAUUUAAUUUUCCCUCUUCGAGAAAAAGAUCACAAACAAACCGGCGGCUGAAACUACGCUUGAAACAAAUACAUAGAAAUGAGGAAAUACAAUAGGUAUCAUAAUCUGUACAUAAUCUUCAAGAAUUCNUAUUUUAAUUUUGAAAUUUAAAAUUUGAUAUUUUAUAUUUAUUAAAUUUAAAUUUGAUCUUAAAUUUAAAGUUUGAAAUUUAAAAAUUUAAAUUUAAAUAUAAUAAAAGGAUAAUAUGAUUAUUUUUUAUUUAUAAAAACCUACUAUUUUUCUUAUUCUAUCGUACCUAACCAAAUGUUAUUUUUUUUAAUCCCAAGAAUAAGCCAAUUUUCAUCCAAACGCAAAAUUGAUCUAAUCCCCCGCGUAUACCUCAAUUUAUACCUAUCCCUGGAAUAGACACUUUUUGCUUAUCUCCGAACCAAACGAUACCUUAGUAACUAACAGAUUCACUGCACAAGCAAAACUGGGAAGCACUAGUUGUAGAUUUAUUUUUUCAUGUCCCACAAGAAGCAGAAGCAAUUUGAAUUUAAACUCCCAAAUACUCUACUACGAGCUGACUCUAAUUCCAGCCAAAGCAGAAACUAAGUCAAACAAACUUUUGAAAUCUUUAUUCUAACUUACCAUCGCCGAAGUAAAAGUUUCAAGUUUCUCCAUUUCAAAACACUCUACUUGAUAUAACUGUAGUUGAACCAAAAAGCCACUCAGUUUAAUCAGUAGAUGUAGCUAACUAAAUUUGAAAGUCUUAUUAACUUAAUGUGAGUCAUUUUCCAUCAAAUAAAAGUUAAUAGGAAGGUCAUAAUGAGAAUGUUAACCCUUGCAUUUAAUUUUCCCUCUUCGAGAAAAAGAUCACAAACAAACCGGCCGCUGAAACUACGCUUGAAACAAAUACAUAGAAAUGAGGAAAUACAAUAGGUAUCAUAAUCUGUACAUAAUCUUCAAGAAUUCACAAACCAUAAUUGUCAGCACAGAAGGUAGUUUUGCAUUAUAGUGUAAAUUUAAAUUUAACAGAAACAUUUUGGUUACUCUCAGUCAAGUAACGAUUACAUGAUCCAUGAUCCGACCAAUUUGCACACUACAACCUGAAUACUGUUUACUAGCUGAAAUAUGAAAAGAAUACAAUAGAAUAUCUAAACUAAAACAACUGCACCAAGAAGCAACAAUGCUUUCGUUUUCUCCAUCUUUCAAGCUGUAAAAGGCAUAUAGGAAAACAUAACACUUGCCAAAGAAAAAAUAAUAUUUGAUAGUUGGAAUCCUUUGACAGCGACGUCAAAUAGAAAGAAACUGGUAAAUUCUUUGUUGCAUCCAUCUUUCAGAUUAGAUGAGAUUAGGCUAAUUAUCCAAUCAGUGAAGCCCAAACAAGCUUCUCGCAACUGCGCGCGAACCUUUCCUCCGACCCCUAGUUGUGCUUCUGCUGCUUCUCAGAGGAGUCAGAUAGAAGCGCAGCAGUCCAUUGUCUAAGUUCCCAGGAGAGGUGUAAUGAACGCUCCGGCUUCUACCAAACUUAUGAUCCCACUUCUUUCUCCAAUCAGGCCCGUGAUUGUUAACACCCCCAAUAGAAGAAUUCAUUCUCCGGUGCACACGCUGGUUUGCUCUACCAUAGCUGAAGCCAUUGCCGUUAAUGUCAGUCCUUUUCUCCUUUCGAGUGUCCUUCCAAGAUUCAGAUAGAGACCUGUCCAAUACAUGUUCACCUUUCUUUACGCAAUCCCUGAUAGGGCUAGUUAUACUUCGAUCCCACACCCUGCUCCAUCUUCGUGAUUUCUUCCUAAUAAUACCUGGAACGGCUAUCUCUCGAUGGAGUUCAUUAACACUACUCUCUUUGAAAAGGCGCCUCAAACUACUAUCAUUUGAUGUCAAGGCUCUCUCGCUAGUUAAAAUCUUUUCAUUGGCGCUACCAUUAUCAGCAUUUUCAGGGUUUUCGAGCACCGGUUUCUGUGUAAUGCUUCUUUGUAGUCGUUCUUCGAGGCAGGGAAAGGAGCAAGCCAGUGCCUUGCUCACCGUCGAACCAUCCCAUGAAUGCCUGGGAAGAUCACAUGAAACCUUGCUCGACUCAUGACACGCCGUCUGAUCACAAAAAUACCGAGAGCUGCGGUUUCUCUCUAACUUCUUAGUUUCCACUACAUUUCUUUUGGAAUCAUCUCUCGUCCCCAACCUUAAACUUUUCUUCGACACCAACGAACUCAACCAAAGUGAAAUCCCUUUUCGAUUCAAGUUCCGUUCAUCCGAACCAUAGAUUUUCUCGUCAGCAUGAGCAUCACUCCCGCCUGCUCGAUCAGAGUUCGAUUGAAGCCGUACAGCUUCAUCUUUGGCACAGCUCAAAACACGAGACUCACGCCGACCAUCGAAAGAUCCACCAUUAGUAGGGUUAGGGUUUGAACCCUCUAGGUUGUCAUCCAAUUGGAACAAUAAAAGGAGAGUCUUUCUCGAUCUAACUUCGCAAGGCUGCUUCUUUGUAUCAGGGGAGGCAACAGAGGCCUCUACUAUCUCACCCUGCGACCUUCUCGCGGCGCUCGUGCUCGACUCGGCAGAGCCAAUGCUAGAAGAUAACCUCUCAAGCAAACAAGAAGAGCAAAAACCAGUGAAAAACUGAUAUGGGUGCUUCCCACACCGCGCAAAAUCGCCGCUUUCUCGAUCCAUCUUAGCUUAAAAGAUCAAAGGAAGCUAAAAUCAUUGCACAAUUUCCCUUUUUUAAAGAAAUAUUCAGCAUUGAAACCCCAGUUGAUAAAAUUUACAUGCUUUAAGCCACGUAAUAACACAAAGAUCACACUAACACACUAAAAAGUAGACAUUUUUAUGCUUUGAUGAGCUCAACUGCAACAAAAUCAACUCAAAUUAAAACUCUCAGAUGAUCAAAUCCGAGAAAUACCUGAUUAGCACAGUUUCUUUAACGAUUUGAAACAGGGGAGACGAAUUAAGCAACAAAAGAUCGAAUUAAACUACGCCAAACGAAUCAAAAAGAAAAAAAAUUACAGAUUCGGAAGCGGAAAAAGAGGAAGCAGAGAAAACGAACUAAAAUCGCCGAAUCCGAUGGAUUCUCUCCCGAAUUCGAUGCUCCAAAAUCCCCAAUUUGUAAGAAGAACUUCGAACCCUAAAAACUUUUAUUAAGGGCUCGCAUCGAUCGAAGGAAUUAAAAAAAAAGGAAAAACCCUAAAUUAAACCCCGCGCGUUGAAUGGGAGGAGAAACAGUUGAUCACUAGAUUACGAAAAUACCCUUCGUAAGUCUGUAGAAUGUCCAAAAUACCCCUAAAGAGAAAGCAAUGUUUUCUAAUUCUUUAUUUAUUUUUAUUUAAGGUCUCUUCCAGUUAAAAAAUUUUAAUAAAAAUACUUAAUUUUAUUUUUUAUCUAAAUUUUAAAAUUUUAUUUCUCUUUUCUAAAAUAUUCUAAAUACUUUUUGAGUAAUCUAAAACCAUAAUGCAUUUUAUAUACAUUAUAUAUAUCAAAUUCAAAAAAAUAUAUACUAGAAAGAAUAGAAAACUCCUGAAAUCUAUUAAAAGAUGUUCGACAUAAACUUUNAUUAUAAUUUUUUUUUGCAUAAUAAUAAAUUGUUAUAAAUUUUAUAUACAUUAUAUAUAUCAAAUUCAAAAAAAUAUAUACUAGAAAGAAUAGAAAACUCCUGAAAUCUAUUAAAAGAUGUUCGACAUAAACUUUAAAAAAUAAAAAAUAAAAAUGUGUUGUUUGACAUGGUUAUUUUCUUUUUUUAAAACAAUAAUUCUAUAUGAUUUCAUAUAAUGCAAAGAUCUAAUCUUUUAUUAUUAUUAUUUCUUAACUUUGUAAUGCACUCUUGUAAAACGAAAAAAUUUCUUUCAUAAAAUUUUUCGUAUAAAAAAAUUAAUUCCAAAAUUUUUUUUAAUCAUUUUUUUUUGAGGGAAAACACGCCCGUAGGUGAAUUUAUUUAUCAAACGGGAGGUACAACUUGAGAAAAAUCAUCUACCGAGGACCAAAAAGAUAGUUUGUUGCUAGUGAGCCCCCAGUUGGCCAAUCGAUCUGUAACUACACCAUUUUAAGAGAAUCUUGAAGACCAUCCAUAGCUAAAUUGAUUGGAACUUUCAAAAAAAGUUCCAAGAUCCGUGAUUCUUGUUCGAGCUUCAACUGUUAGCGAAUCUGAAUGAUAGCUCCUACGGUGCAGGGCUUUAAUGAUGGAGGCAGAAUCUGAGUAGAUAUGAAAAAUUUCUCCCGGAUACCUUUGCAACAAAAGAUUUGUCGCUGGGGAAAUUGCUCCAAUUUUCGCAGAGCAAGCGUCAUGGACAUCCUUUAGUACAUCGGAUAUGCACAUAAUGAUUCCAUGCUGAUUGGCGAUCAGGCAUCCUACUCCACCUAUAGUGCCACCUUUCCAACUCCCAUCCACCCAUACAUGUAAGGAAAAUGUCGCAGGUUCUUAAAUCAGAGUUGGGUCCUGAAUGCUAAUCCUCAUCAUGUUCUUUUUAGAAUAUAAGAUCGUCCAACUGCGAGCCCGUGAAAUGAUGGUAGUAAUACUGAAAAUUUUUCCUUCAAAAAUCGUCUCAUUCCUUUCUUUCCAUAAGCUCCAUAACAAAUGAACACAAAAAGCCCUAUGGGUCGUCAUGGCUUUAUUAGUUAGGAUAAAGAAAUUCUAAAAGGACAGAGGCCUAUCCGCAUUAUCAAUUAUAAGGCCUAUACUGGAUGCGAACCAGACACGUCGUACGUAUUUGCUCACAAUUAAAGAAUAAAUGUACCAACGUCUCAGACUCUUGUAGGCAAAGCGGGCAAAGUCUAUUAAAGUUAGGUAGUCUCGAGGCUAGUGCUACCUAACUUUAAUCUACUUCUUCCUUUCUUAUUAUUUUAUAGAAAAAGUAUACUUUACAAAUACAAAAGCUACAACAAUGCUAAAUAAGGCGUAAAAAUUUUCAUGAGAAAAUAGAAAUUAGAGGCUUUAUUAAAUUAAAAUUACGUAAAAUAAAAAACUUACAAUUUUUUUUACAAGAAUAAACUUCAAAUACCACUCCAAUAGUUUUGUACUUUCUCAUUUUAAUAUCCUAUAUUUUAAAGUGUAUCAAUUUAAAUACCAUGUGGUUUCAUUUUUCUCUUUUCGUCAGUCCCUUCACUAAUUUUUAUUAAAUUAUAUACAAAAAAUUUCAGAUAACCCACCUAUAAUUUAUCGAAUAUUCACUUUAGUAUCCUUCAGUUUUAACAAUGUCACUGAUUUAACGAAAAAAAUAAUAGAGAAAAUAACAAAAAGAAAUAAAAAUAAAACUAUAAAGUGUAAAAGUGAUACAUUUUAAAUCAUAGGAUACUAAAAUAAAAAUGUGCAAAACUUGGGUAUUUGAAGUUUUUUAUUUUUCAAAAUACUUACAUGGAAAAGGAGGGUAAUUUAGUCAUUAUAGUCGAAAUAGUUGGAGGGGUAUUUUCGGAAAAUCUGGGGCGUUGGAUUAGAGCGGGCGAUUAUUAAAUGACACGUGUCGUAACGCGAAGAGUCGUCUAGGGAGCCGUUACAAAGUCCUGUGGUUGGUCGGGCCAAUAAAUUUUAUGACGAAAAUGCCCUUGUCAUUGAAUGAUGUUAUAAACUACUAAUUUUACAGUUUUACCAUUGACCGAGAUUAAUGCAACCUAAUCAUUAGUUAAAUAAUUUAUAACCUCUAUUAAAGAGUUGACUAUAUUCAGAAGUAAAUAACAAAAAUAUCUCUAUUAAUAAUUAUUUUUUAUUUGUCAAAUUACAUCGAAUUUGUAGGAUUUGAAAUUGAGAGCAACAAUAAUCAGACAAAUUUUCGGACUCAAAUUUAGCCAAACGAAAGUUAUAAGAUUUUUUUUUUUUUUUUUUGAGAGAGAGAGGUAGGUUCAUUCAUUUUUCUAAAAAUUAGCUCAGUUUAAAAUGUAAAAAAAAUAAUUAGAUUUAAAAUUUAGAAUCUCGAGUACCAAUUAUUAAGUUCUUAGCUAAAUGCGCUAGGUACGGUCAGUUAUAAGAUUUAGAAUGCUAGAAUAAGAAAUUAGAUCUGUACCAAAAUUCAAAUUUGUCCACAAUGCUACAUCUUGAGUAUUAAUUUGAAGUUGAAAUUUUAAAAUUUUAUAGAAAUUCGUAUAUUCCAUCUAUUUCACUUUAUCGUUUAAGUCUUGCUAACUAACUAUGCAAAUAAACAUACCUCAAAAUUGUUGUUUGUUUAUAAUGACUCGAAUAUCAAAAUUUGAACUCAAAGAGACCUUUUUAUUUAUUUAUCCUUUUUUUUCUGCCUAUGAAUUCUUUUUUAAUAAAAUAGAUUAUUCUUUCCACUUAAUUAAUAUUCUAUUUCAGUUCUUACUUCUGUGGCUAGAUCGUAAUUUUUCUUUUAGUUCAAAAAUUACAAAUUUUGGCCUAAAAAUAUUCCGCACUUUUGUCAUGUUUCAAUAAUUUCUUAUACAUGAAGGAUUCAAACUGCAUAUAAAUAACGGUACUAUAGAAUUAAACUGCAUAUGAAUGAACAUAAAUGCGUGCAUUAUUGUCUCGAUACAUGAAACUGGGUUUAUUAGCAUUCCAAAUUAAAGUAUUAAUAAGUUUAGGCUUAUAAGUAAGUUUUUUUUUUAAAAAAAAAAAAUCAAUUGUAAUUUGUAAAUGUAGAGGAGCAUGGUAGUGAAAUGUUAAAUAAAACAAAGGGUGAAAUGGUCACUGCGUUGACAACAUGAUGAGAGAUGGAGAAAAAGAAAACUUGUGAUUGAUGGGUAAGGACAAGACAACAGGUGUGUACCAAAAAAAAGCCCACCUGAUCAUGUCCACCUAACACAAAUAAAUGAACAAAUCUCCAAAGUCAAACUAAGGAGAGGAAAUCCAAAAAAUAAAAAAAUAAAAGGAGACAGUGACACCACAUUUUACGAAAAAAAAAAAAAAAACGUAAUUUUCUCGGAUACUAAUUAUUAAAAUUAAUAUUUAUAUUUAAUUAUGUAACUUAGGAUGCAAAAUAAAAUAAAAAAAUUAUGAAAAAAAAUAUUAGGAGAGGAAGAUGAUAACUAAAUUAAUAUUUUAUUAAUAAAAUGUAUUUAAUUACACUUGGUCGACACACUCGGCCUUAUACAAUUAAUCAUGUCUACUGUAGCUUACUUAUCUAAUUAGCUAAUGAAUAACUAUAUAUAGCUGUUAAGUCAUAACAGAUAAUAAAUCCAACUUUUAUUUUGAAUAAUUAAAAAUCCUGCUCUAAUGAUAUAAACUUUUAAAUAUAAUCACUCAAUGUAUAAUUUAGAUAUACUUUAUCUCUAACUAAAUUUUUAAAUUAAAUUUGAAUUAUUAUUCUAACAAGAACAGUAUAUUUUAUUCAUUUUUUAUUUUUUUUGUGUUGAUGUUUGUGAGGUUGAUAACUUUUGUUAGUUUAGAUGAGUAGUUUGAGAUCUAUUCUCAUAUUUUUCUCUUCUCCUGCAUUAUUAAAUUUGGAGAGAGUCUCUUAUUAUUUCUCUAUUGUUAGGUUUACUUGGAGUUUUACUUAAUUUCUUUACAACUAUCAUUAGGGCCUACAUGAAAUCUCCUCCACUCUCUCUUCUAUUAUAAUUAAGCUUUACUUUUAAUAAAAUAUUUAAUUUUCAACCUUUUAAGUUAGAUGCUUAAUAUUAAUUAAAAAUUUUAAAAUAAUUUUACUUUGUCUGGACAAAAAAAUAAUUAUGUAUGCCCUAUGCAUUGUUACAUGGACAAAAAUUUGGUGGGCAUCAUCCCCAAACAAUUUGUUUGGGGACAAUGCCGAUGGGUGCCGUGUGGUGUGCGGCGCCCAUCGCGACCCUCGGAAACAAAAAAAAAAAAAAAAAAUUGUGGGCUCCGAUUUUUUAGAGAGAGAGAGAGAGAAAGAAGCCGGUGGUGGAAAGUGGGUGGUAGCGAUGGGCAGCUGUACACCACGCGGCACCCAUCGGCUCUGUCCCCAAACAAGUUGUUUGGGGAUGGAUGCCCACCAAAUUUUUUUCCUCAUUAUAUCCAUGAAUUAUCUUGUAUUAAUGGCAUAUUUUAAUCUUAUCAUCAAUUAAGCUGGGGUUUUUAGUUUUUCCUAUCUUAAAUAUUAGUUAAUUAUAUAUGAAAAAAAGUAUAAGAUUCAGCUCUUUGCCUAUAUUAAAAAUGGCUAACUUAAGAUUGAGAGAGAGUGGAGAACUAACAGAAAUAUAUCACAAGUGCUCAAGCUCAAAGAAUCACAUUCAUAAGUCAUAAAUCUAUCUAUUUAUAGAUAUUAUACGAAAACAUAGUCGUUACACUGUAUUUUCAGAAACUGGACGUGAAACCCAUUUUUAGACGCUAGAAUGGGCUUCUCAGAACCAGAUAUAUACGUACAUUCGAGUCCUUAAUCUCAACUCCACUCUUAAUGUCACUGCUCUUGAAUCUUCUUCUAUCCUCACCAUCUUCUUCUAUCCUCACCAUGUGGCCUCAAACUUGAGUUCUUCAAGAUACAACUAAUAAGAUCUUACUCAACUAAAACAUUUAAUAUCAAAAUCAUCAUUAUUUACUGACUGUCCUUAGAGCAAGUGGCAAAGGAUUGGUGGUUGGUACCUGAGACCCAAGUUCGAAUCUUAGUUUAUUUACAUUCCUAGCUAAGUUUAUUUCUAAAUGAAAUAAACGAAACAGGUAGCGUGCUACCUAUCUCUCAAAAAAAAAAAUCAUCAUUAUUUGUAAUCAUCAAAAUAGGGCAAAAAUUUUAUGGACACAGUGUCCAUAAAAAGAAAUUUGGGGAUGCCUCCUAUGGGUGCCGGAUGGCACCUGCCUCAUGAGGGGAGCAGUAACUCCCCUAUGGAUGGAGGAAUUCUACACUAUCACACUUGCAUCACAUCAUCAUUAACAAGACAAUCACAUUUAUUCUUUUCAAAUAAAAGUACAAUAAUUUUUUUUUUUCAAUCAUAAUGAGAUAUAUACCCUUAAAAAAAUAUUUAAUUAAUUUAUUAUGUUACGUCACUAAUAUGGACGUUGCAUUUUAGAAUUUUUCUUUUGGACGAGAGGAGCAGUAACUCCUAUGGGCGCCGCAUGGCACCUGCCUCAUAAGGGGAGCAGUAAUUUGGGAAUGCAUCCUAUGGGCGCCGCAUGGCACGUGCCUCAUGAGGGGAGCAGCUUUACUUUUUUUGGGUGCACAUGGUGCACUAUAUUUUGUUUUAAUUUUUUUAUUUUUAUAUUAUAAUUUAAUGUAGUUAUUAUAUAUUAUGAUAUUUUAAAAAAUAUAUAUAAAAAAUUUGGAGUUUAGGGUUUAAAAUUAAUUUUAAAUAUAUAUUUAAAAUAUCAUAAAAUAUAUCUCUAUUAUUUUAUUAAAUUAUAAUUAAAAAAAUAAAAAUAAAAUUUAAACCAAAAGAUGGUGCACCGGGCGCACCGAAAUAAACCCCACUGUUCUCCCAAAAAGCAAAGUAGCGGGGGGCGACACGGCGCCCAUCCGGAGUAUCUGGAUGCCACGCGGCACUCAUCCAAGGCAUCCUCAAAUUAAAUUUUAGGGCUUUUUUUGCAAAUAGCCCCCUGAGCAAUUUUUAUUUUAAAAGUAGCCCUACCAAAAUUAAAAUUGCAAAAAUGGCCCUGUCUCUGCCACGCAGGCGCCAAGUCAGCACCACCCGGGCAGGGCUGAGGCCAGGGUAUUAAGUUGAACACGGUGAAUCAUUCACCGUAUUUAGACACAGUGGAUGAUUCAUCGUGUUUUUUACGUAUUUUUUGUAUAUUGAAAAGUGAAAUAAGGAGUAGGGAUGUCAAUAGGUAUGGAUAUUCAAAAUAUUAUCCGAAUCCAAACCCGAAUAAAUUAUAUAUAUAUAUACGUAAUUUAUUUUUGUUUAUUUAUACAAUAUAUAAAAUAUUUAAUAAUUUUUAUUCCUUAGAUCUUCAUCCAACGGUAUAGAUUUUUAAAACCCGCUGGGUUGGAUGAAGAUCUAAGGAAUAAAAAUUAUUAAAUAUUUUAUAUAUUGUAUAAAUAAAUAAAAAUAAAUUAUAUAUAUAUAUAUAUAUAUAAUUUAUUCGGGUUUGAAUUCGGAUAAUAUUUCGGAUAUCCAUACCUACUGACAUCCCUACUCCUUAUUCCACUUUUCAAUGUACAAAAAAUAUGCAACAAAGAAUACGUACUAAACACGGUGAGCCAUUCACCGUGUUUGAACACGGUGAAUGGUUCACCGUGUUCAACUUAACACACGGUCCAGUUCUGCCCGCGUGGCGCUGACGUGGCGCCUGCGUGGCAGGCCCAGAGCCAUUUUUGCAAAUUAAAUUUUGACAGAGCUAUUUUUAAAAUAAAAAUUUGUCAGAGAUCUAAAUAUAAAAAAAACCCCUAAAUUUUAUGGACACUGUGUCCAUAAAAUUUUUGCCCAUCAAAAUAUAAUGGUCUAUUGAGGCCACUAGGCCAACAAUUAAAACUUGGCCAUUUGCCCAGCCAAAAAGUGAGGGUAAUGGGUACAUUGUGCACUAUUUCCCCAACUUUCAGCUAGGUUUCUUUUUGGUCCUUGGACUUUCAAUUUCGAUGUUAAACUCCUAAACUUUUUAAUCCCUAUGCAUAUUUACUGUGCCUACACCUGGUGCAUCUAAAAAUAGACUUUUUUACAAAAUAAUCCUCCAAAAUUUUAUAAUUUGCAAAAUAAUCCUGCCAAUUUUAUUUUUGGCAAUCGUUCACCCUACCUUUUAAAGGCGGUGAAUCGUUUACUGCAUUCAUUAAGGCGGUUAAUAAUUCACCGUCUUUAUUAGAAUUUAUAUAAGAAAUAGGAAAAAGUGAGAUUAUUAUACAUGGAUUAUUAGAAUUUUUAUUUGAUUGUUAGGAUUGUAUAGAUAUUUUAUUAGAAUUUUCAGAUUGUUAAAAUUAUAUGUGAUUUGUUGAAAUUUUUAUGUGGUUGUUAAAAUUAUAUAUAAGAUAUAAAAAGAAACACUAAAUAAGCUAGAGACGGUGAAUGAUUCACUAUUUUUGUGAAAAAAUUAGGAAGGCGGUGAAUCGUUAACCGUCUUUAUGUAGGCGGUGAAUCGCUCAUCAUCUAGAAAAUUCCAACGUGCCUCGUACAUGGCAAACGAAGGGUUAGUUUGCCAAAAAAAUUUUUCAUAGGAUUAGUUACCUAAUUAGAAAAUUUUAUAGGAUUGUUUUGAAAAAAAAGUCCUCUAAAAAUUCAUAUAUUAUUACUAGCAUCAGUUAUAAUAGGCUUAAUGGUUGGUACCUGAAGUUUCAUAUUGAAAGCCUUGUUCCUUCACAUUUUUAGUUCAGUUGAUUUCUAAAAAAAAUAAAUGAAACAGAUAGCAUAUUAUCUAUCUCUCUAAAAAAAUAAAAUCAUAUACUAUGCAUUUAUCUACAUUUUUCUGUUUUUAAAAGUUUGGACAGUUAAUUGAAAGCAUUAAUUGAAGAAAGGAUGGACAGAAUCUGCGGUGCAAGUAGUUUUUUAAUCUCCAAAAUUAAGGACUGGAGUGAAAUAUUAUAAAAAAUUUUAAGGACUAAAACGGAAGUUUGUUAAAAGUGUAGGAGCCUAAACAUCCAAAUCAAAAGUUCGGGGAUCAAAAUAAAACUUGAGUUGAAGUUCAAUGACGGGUUGCGCAAGAGUAUAUAACUACUAUAAUCUAUGGCUGCGUUUGGUUCAGGUAUAAGUAAGAACUGCUUGUUUCAGAGAUAGGUACAAGUUUAGGUAUAAGCAGGAACUAGACCAAUUUUGCGUUUGGAUGAAAAUUGAGUUGUUUCUACGAAUAAGGUAAAUAGCGUUUGGAUAGUUAAAUUGGAACAAGAGAAAUAAAAGUUAUAAUCUGAAAUUAAAAUUAUAUUAUCUAAUUAAUUAACAUCAAAAUAUUACUUAAAAAUAAAUAAUAAAUAAAUUAUUAAUAAAUAAUUAUAAAUAAUAAUAAUUAUUAUUAUUAAUUAUUAAUUAUUAUUAUUAUUAAUUAUUUAUAAUUAUUUAUAAGUAAUAAAUUAAUUAAUUAUUAAUUAAUUAUUAAUAAUUAUUAAUAAUUAUUUAUAAGUAAUAAAUUAAUUAAUAAUAAUUAUCUAAUUAUUAAUAAUUAAUUAUAAAUCAUUAUUAAUAAAUAAUAAUAAUUAUUUAAUUAUUAAUUAUUAAUAAUAAAUUACUAAUAAUAUCGAUUAUCUAAUUAAUAAGAAUAAUUAUUUUAUUUUAUUAUUAAUUAAUAAUUAAAUAUAAAUAUUAAUAAUUAAUUAUAAGUAAUAAAUUAAUUAAUAAUAAUUAUCUAAUUAUUAAUAAUUAAUUAUAAAUAAUAAAUUAAUAAUAAUAUCGAUUAUCUAUUUCUUAAGAAUAAUAAUUAUUAAUAAUUAUUAUUUAAUUAAUAAUUAUUAAUAAAUAAUAAUUAUUAAAUUAAUAAUUAUUAUUAUCUAAUUAUAAAUAAUUAAUUAUAAUUAAUUAUUUGUUUAUUUAUUUUAUUAUUUAAGCAAUAGAUAAUAAUUCAAAUAUAUUAAUUAGAUUAAUUAAUAAUUUACUAUCAUUAAAAUUUAAAUUUAGAUUUAAUUAACCUUGUUCUUAUUCGGGAACAAGCUUGUUCCAGAAAAAAGAUGGAACAGCAGUUCCAGCCAGUUCCAGUCUUAUACCAGCUAGUUCCAGAAACCCGGGAACUAUUGUUCUCGGGUACCAAGCGCUGCGUUUGGAAACAAAGGGGGGAACAAGAGCUUAUUCUCCCCCUUGUUCCCGAACCAAACGCUACCUAUGAGUAUAUAUCUUUUUAUGCUCAUAAACUUUCGGCCGUUGGAUAAAGGAAUGUGCAGUUAGAAUAAUAGUGGUCCUCUAGUGUUGAGUUGGGUGGUUCGUUGAAUAGUAUGAUCUAACGAGUGAAAAUAGUCAAAGUGGCAGAUCUAUGGCCAAAAAUUUAUGAGUGUGAAGGGGACUAUACUUAUAAGAGUAUAGUAGCCGGACUCGAUUGCGCAAUUUACCCAAUGAAACAAUCAAACAAGAUGGAUUUGCAUUUCCAUUUAUAUGGGCUGAAAAUUCGAUGGAGACAGCCCAUGGAGUAUACCCAUGAUAGUUUCUUUAAUCUUUUCUCCCAAGAGGAGUUAUUUGGGCCAAGUUAAUGGAAGUUUGGAGUGCACACAAUAAUCUUAUAAUUAGAAAACGCGGUAUCAUAAACUACCAUUGAUAAGUCAACUUUGUUGCAACAAUUAGAGGCUGUUUGGUUGCAUGCUGUUGCAACUGCACUGCAGUUGUAACUAUAUAUAAAUACAAAUUUGGUGUUUGAUUUAAUGUAUUUAACUCCAAGUGCUGCGGUAGGAACUGCAGGAGGAAGUCCAAUUGCAUCAAUUGGAACUAUGCCCAAAUUGGCCACAGUUCCAACUGCAACAGCUGAAAAAAGUAACUUUAAACAAAAGGUAAACUUAUCUCCUUAAUUAUUUUUUAAAUAAAAAUUAUUUUUUUUAAAAUCGGAAGUAAUCUCACCAUAUAUAAUGGUAAAAUUUUAAAAAUCAUUUCUCAACUGAAUGCAACCAAAUAAAUUAUUUCUAGUUGUAACACUUUCUACUAUAUCCAACUAAACAAAAUGCAUGUAGUUGCAACUGCACUCAUCUUCAAAUAUAUUGCAUUUAUAACUACAUCUAAUCAAACAGCCCCUUAGUAAGAAUCAUUGUUCUAAAGUAGUGGCUUUUAUAGAGUCUAUUUUUGAGGUUAGGAAUUCGACUCAGAAAAAUACUCCCCCCAAAAAAAGACGCAAUGGUUAGAAACUAAAAUUAGAGUAAUGCUAUCUAUAUGUUUAAAGGUGGAUAUAUGUCUCAUAUUACAUAUUUAUAUUGCAGCCAAAGGUCAAUUUUGUUGCACUAGUUUUUUUCACAACCAUAUUUUUUUAAUACUAAAAAUUCAAAAGGGUUGUCCACAUUUUAGUAUACAUAUAGCAUUUUUCUUAAAGUAAAGCUGUGGCUUAAUAUUUGAUUAUUAAUGUUAAAGAAAUAAAAAUUUAAGAAAAAAAUUUGAGAGAGUUAUUUCAAAAUGAUCUAUUAGUUUGAUGGAGAAAUGAAUGCAUAUAAAGAGAUGGACCAAAUAAAUUAUUCAAAAAUAACUUAUUAUAAAAUUCAAACAAACCUUAAUGUUUAAUGAUUAAAAUCUAAUUCAACAUGUAGGAGUUAAACCAUGUAAAUAAUCUAUGUAUAGAAAAAUAUAUGUAUUUUAAAAAUUAAUUAUCCGGACAUAAAAAUCAAUUGUAGAGAAGUAUUCUUUGGUUAAUUUAUAAAAUUAGUGUACAAUAUAGAGAAAGAGCGAGAGUAGGNAUCUUCGUCAUAGUCAAGGUGAAAAAAAAAAAAUUAGCUGAUAGGAAAAUACAACGAUUAUAUAACUGUAAAUUUAGUUUUAAAUUGAUCACAUAUAUGUCCCUCAACUACCGGUACAAUGUACUGACCUAUUUUUCAAUAUAACUAUUUUUUAAUCGUUAUAUUUAUUUUCUAUAUAUGAGUCACUUUCACUUUUUCAGUAAAGGUGAUGCCUCAAUAAGGUGCAGUCUAAAUAGAGUUUGAUUAAUAACGUGGUUUAUUUUCUCUUUUUUCAAAUUAUUUUAUUAUUAUUAUUAUUAUAUAGAGAAUUUUUUUAUUGUUUUAUUAUAUCAUUAAUGUAUAAUUAGUUUAUAAAUUUUAAAAAUAAAAAUAUAUUUUAUUUUUAUAUAACAAUGCGUGUACCUCACCUUCUUCCCCACCCACCCCGGGCGUGACCGAAGGUCUUUAUCAUUUAACAGUCCUAUCAAUGCACUCGUUCUUUUCCCGCCCUUCCUUUGCCGUGGCUUGACUGCGCGACCUCCGCGCGCUUUGUCUUUCGUGCCCCCACCCGGGGCGCUAGAGCGACCGCAGUGGACGAGUACCAAAAGGUAGGACUUGGUGCAGGUGGUGCAGUCGUAUUCAUUGAACGUCCAUAUCUCCAGAAUUUUAAACAUUGGGUUGGUAAGGCGCAUUAUUAAAUGUAAUAAUAUUGGUUGUCAGAGAAAGGAUCUCGUUCACUGUUUCUCAAACCACCAACCAUGAGUCCUGGGUUCAAGCUUAGAAUCAACUAAGUGGAAAGGUCGAUUCAAAUAAAGAUUUAUUUUAUUUGCUUCGCCCAUCGCACGAUGAAUAGAGAGAAUUUUUUUUUUAUAUAAUAAUAAUACAUCUGUAAGAUGUUUAAUUGGCCCAAGUGGGCGAUACUGCGUAUUAAUGAAAGCCCUAGAUAAAAAAAAAAAAAAAAACUCUCUAUCCAUGGUACGAUGGGCGAAGAAAAUAAAGUAAAUCUUUAUUUGAAUCGACUUUUACACUUAGUUGAUCCUAAGCUUGAACCUAGAAGCCAUGGUUGGUGAUUAGGACUUAUAAUUUACUCGAAUCAAAUUAUAAAAAAAAUUUUAAAAAACUAUUACAUACCUAUUCCAAUGUGGUACGGAGAUCGACCGAACCUCUACGAGUUCGUGCUUAGAGGUGCGUCCCACCUACUCGACAACUCUAGUUGUACCUGCUUGUUUUUAAUGGAUGCGCUAACACGUAUAGGGUAUCGUGCGGCAAUUAAAAAUGGUGAUGUUGAGGAAAAUAAAUAUUGAUAAAAAUCCUCAUUAAAGUCGUAUUUAAAAAAAACAGAUCUAUCCCAUGCAUCGAUGCACUAAUGCAAUUGAAGCUGUAGGUUUAGUGGGAUAUUUUUGAGAGAUACGCCUGCAUCCCAUCCAAGGUGACAGGCGCUGUACCUCUGUGAGGAGCGAUGGGAUUUUGCCUUUAUUGAAAAAAGAUUUUUUUUAAUAUCUUCGUGGAUUUGUAUUUAUUGAAUAAUUUACAUUUAAUUUUAUGUAUAUAUUUUUUUUUUUAGAUAUUCCACGCGGAAAAACUGAUUACACGCGUAAAGGGGUGGUGCGGAUUGACAAGGGUUAUAUCGUCGUCCGGUGACAUACGCCCGUGGCGUGGGGACUGAGGGGGUGAAACAGGCGUACGCUUGGUUGCCGCCACUAGCUGGCAAGGGGGGAAGCUAGUGUCGGCAAUCACCCGGGUUUUCAUCUAUUCCACCCAGUAUGCUUCUGGAAGCACGGAGCGCUCCGUGCUUCCAAGUUGUUUUCGAUGUUCGGACUUUCGAAUCGACGAUCGGCUCCGUUAGACUUGAUCUAAAGUAUUUGAAGUAUCUAGAAAAUAAAUUUUGCGAUUUUUCGAUAUCAUUUGCCUAGUGAUCGAAGUGGCUCAAAAUCAACGGCUGAAAAUAAAAAUCUCACAAAAUAUGAUGAUAUGACAUUAAAAUUUUAGAUCAAAGUUAUUGAUCUUGUUUUAUAUGGUAUAAAGAAUUUUCUAUCAAAAUUUCACGUGAUUUGGAUAUUUCUACACCGUUAAACUUGCAACCGGCUCACCACGGCCGUUAAAAUUAUUGAUUUUGAGCCCCUACGAUCACUAGGCAAAUGAUAUCGAAAAAUCGCAAAAUUUAAUUUCUUGGUACUUUAAAUACUCUAGAUCAACUCUAACGGAGCCGAUUGUCGAUUCGAAAGUCCGAACAUCGAAAACAAAGUGGAAGCACGGAGGCCUCCGUGCUUACGAAAGCAUACCAGCCCACUCUAUAUAUAUAUAUGUAUUUUGUUUCAUAAAAGAUAAUUAAUAAAUUAUAUUUUGAUUUUCAAACCAUGAUUACAAGGACUUAAAUGCACAGUAUAGGAAAUGUACUUAUGUAUUCGGUGCAGGCAAUAGUUUUUCAGUUUAAAAUAGUCUCCAAAUAUUUAAAAAGCUCGAAGAUAAUAUACAAUUUUUUUAAAAAUUCGAACUCAAAAAAGAAUAUGAAGAAGAAAUGUACUAAUUAUGUAUUCGGUGCAAGCAAUAGUUUUUUAGUUUAAAAUGGUCUCCAAAUAUUUAAAAGUUUGAAGAUACAAAUUUUCAAAAAAUUCGAACUCAAAAAAAGAAUAAAACUGCUAUAUUACAUCCUUUAUGUGCUAGUGUGUAAAUUUUUUUGAUAAAACAAAUAAAUAAGUGAGAUCAUUAUGAUUUCAAAACCAUUAAUUUUCUUUCAAAUAAAUUUUUUUUUGAGUAUCCUACAAACCUGUUUCUAUAUUUAGAUUUGCAUAAACUUCACCAUAUUUUAGUUCCCAAACUUCUAAAUUUAAUAUUUUAGUCCUUUAAAAUUUUUUUUUUCACUUUUAGUCUUUGUAAUUGUUUACUAUAAAGGAGAAACUAUUGCAUAUGUCCCGUGCAUUUAUGGACUUGCGCAAUAUUUAUUUAUCAACUCUUAUAUAUGCGACAUUUUGUUAUUUAGAAAUUAAAUUUUUAACUUACAAAUGUGUGAUAGGUGAAGACCGGAUGGAUUUAUAGUGACAAGGGGAAACUUUGAAUACCUGGUUUCGCACUUUUCCAUUUUAAUACCCUGUGGUUUAAAAUAUAUCAAGUGGUUUCGUACUUUUUUAUUUCAGUACUAUGUGAAUUCAAGUGUAUCAAGUUAGUACCCUGUGAUUCCGCACUUUCUCACUUUAAUACCAUGUGGUUUAAUAUUUCGUUAAAUUAUAUACCCCGAAAUGGAUAAUAAAAAGAAAAAAUUGAAACCAUAAGGUACUAACUUGAUACAAAAUAAAAUCAUAGGGUACUAACUUGAUACACUUGAAACCACAAGGUUACUAAAGUGAGAAAGUGCGAAANAUCCCAAAAGAGCCUUACCACAUCCCAAUCCCAAAGUGUACUUUUGGGAUUGAGAAAAUCGGAAUAUGAUCUCUGUUUAACGUUCAUUCAGGAGGUUUUGAGUUUUAAAGUAUUGCUCAGGACGUGUCGCGCACAUUUUGCGCUCUUAUGGGGAGGUACAUGCUAGGGUGCGUUUUGCCGUGUAUUUUAUAGCGUAGAAAACGCUUUAAUGUUAAAACGGUUGUAGCUGGAGAGAAGCUAGUUGCACGCUAGAGGCGUCUAGGCAGGUAGCCUAAACGCUUGCCUAGUGUGGUCACGCUAGUCGUGGAGCCUCUAUCGUUUCGAUGCUAAAAACCAAGUGGAGCUAGCUGGUGUCUAAGCGCUGCUUUAGGUAAGAGAAAGGUUUUCCGGUAUUAUUGCGUGUUAAUGUAUUCUUUGUACAUAAAAGUCUAAAAGAGCUUUAGGCACGCAGUUUUGGUUUUAGGCAGUCGCGGUAAUCAAGGUCUUAUCGACGUAGGAAGCUUUGCUCGAUAACCUGACGAUACUUGCCUCAGGCUAUGCGUGGUCUUCGGUUGAGAUGAGGCGCCGAAGAGGUCUUUUGGCCUCAAUGAUAAGUGAAUUCACUUUUGAUUUUUAGCGCAUUGAAGAGGCAAAAUCGAGUAAAAGAGGACUUUGAACUGCUCACGAAUACAUUAAUUUAAUGUGUGUAUUUGUAGCAGUUGUCUCUCAAAUCAACGUGACAUUUUUUUGGGUCAGGAAUGUUUUCUAAUCAAUGAAUUUAAUUUUAAAAUUUUAUAAUCUAUCAAUUUAAUUUUAUUAAAUAGUAAGUUUCUUUAAGAUAUGUAUAAUAAACAAUAAGUUGGAAUUAAUAAGAAAAAAUAGAAUUAAAAAAAUAGAAUUAAUCCCCCCAACCCCUAGAAAAAAAUAGAAUUAAAAAGAAUAAAAAGGAGAGAAGUGACUAAAAACCCAUCCUCUCGUACUCCUUAGCCCGGAUAAAGAAAAAAUUAAAUCAGAUUAAGAGGAGAGAAAGAGUAAUAUUUUUAAAUUUUAUAUAUUAAAAAAUCUAUAUUAAAAAUUUAUUGAAUUUAACAUAUAUAUAAUUUAUAUUUAAAAUCAAAAUAUCAUAAUUAAUGAAUCUAUAUCUAACGUGUUAUUUUGUAUUUUCUUUCUAACUACCUCAAAUCUAAUUAAUAAAUAAAAUUAUUCAAAUAAACGCUCUUAACAUACUUCAUAUGAUUGAUUUAAACAUUUCUAUUUGCUAUAUAAGUUUAAAACUUUAGUUUUAUGAUAAUGACUGAAUUUAGAUUAUAUAACUUUCUAACAUUUCGUUUUAUUUUAAAACUUUCUAACCUAUAUGAUUAAAUUUUACUAAGUUCCAAGAUAUAUAAAAAUGAAACUAAAAUUAUAGUUUAAAAUUACAGUAUAAGAUCAGGCUAUUCGCUAAUUGAAGUAUAAAUUUGAAAAAACAUUAUAGGUUUUAUACUAACUAGCUGAAGAUAAAAAUUAUUAAUCCGUAAGAUUUUAAAUAAGAUAUCAAUAUAUCCAAAAAAGAGCUUACUUUAAUGAUUAAUUUGUUUUAACUAGCGAUGAAUUGAAACAGAAGCAAACCUUAUUUUUAAUAUGUAUUUUUUUUAUUUAAUGUGAAAGCGAGUAGUUUGAUAUUCUGUACAUUGUAUCAUCAAGAGCUUAAAAUUACGCAAUAUUAAAAAUUGAUUUUGAUGCUCUGUGCACUGUGAAAUGAGGAAUUUAAAAUUAAUCGACGUUUAAGACUGAACCUGAUACUCCGUAUACUAUAAAAUCAGGAGUUAAAAAUGACGAUGAUAUUUAUAUUAAAUAAUAAGAAUAUUAAAAAAUAAAAAAAAUAUAAGAAGAAUAUAAAAAAAUAAGAAUAUGAAAAUGACAUUAUCGACGACGAAGAAGAAGUCAAAGAAAAAAAUUAAAAAAAUAAAAACUGACGAAAAGCAAAACAACAAAAAAUUAAAAUGAAUAAAUAAAAAAAAGCUAUAAUUAGGCGACGUUGCGCCUCCUAACCGCUUCACCUCCUCCCUGCCCACCCCAUGCGCGCGCCUUGGCCGCCGGCAAGCCGCUGCGGUCGCCGGAGGGACCUCCCCGGCUUCCCCCUCCACUUUCUAUCCCUCUCCAUCUCUAUCCCUCUCUCCCUCUCUCUUAUCUCGAGUUGUGAGGAAGCCCGAGACUGCCGCCACCUCCAGACCCUCCGCCGGUGUCGCCCCGUGCUCCGGCGAGCAUCCCCGCCGACCGCCGCCGUCGCCAAGCGCCGCCGCGGCCGCUGCUGCACCCGGCUGCUGCCUAGGCCGAGCUUAGGUCGAGGAUGACUCGCGGCCUCCCCGCGCGCAGCCACCGCCUGCACCCGUUCCGGCCGCCAUCCCCGGACCCUCGGCGACCACCCCGGCAGGUCGCCAGCGCUCCUGCGGGCCGCCGCCGCCGCUGCGGCCACCCUGCAGCCAUCCCAGGUCUGCUCGGACUGAGCAGACUUGGUAACUUCACCCCAGCGCCGCAGCCGCCUUGGUCCACACCCGCGGCCUUCUCCUGUGUCCCACCGACCGGCCGGUCGCCGCCGCCCUUCGGAUCGCCGCCGCCGCCCUGAACCUUGGGCGCCGCCGCCUAGGCCUGCAGACCGAGCCUAGCUCGAGCGGCAACACCCGAGCCGCGGGCCGCCGCCGCUGUCGUCCGCAGCCUUCCUCCUCCUCCUCCGGCCUCUGUGGACCUGCCGCCGUCGUCCCCGACCUGCCCCGGCCGUCGCCGUGGCCGCAACACCCCCCCGGACCCGUGCCCUAGCUCGUGCGGGCAUGCCUUGCUCCGCCGCCGCCGCACCCCGCCGCCGCCGCCGCACCCCGCCGCCAACGGAGGUGAGCAUCGUGUUCCUCACCUCCCCCGCACCCAUCCCUGGCCCCCACGCGCGCCGCCGUGCCGCCGGAGGCCGGCCGGAGCAACCUUGCUCCGGCCAAGCCCGAAAUAGGGCUUAGUUUGGGAUGGUUUACUGUUCUGAGCUUCCUGAGCCUCCGCGAUCUCUGCGAAAGGGAGCACGAUGAUCGUAGAAAAUUUCUGAUCAUUGUGCUCACCUUAGAUUCUGCCGGGGAGACUCCGUUCCGCUGUUUCGGCAGUGUCGACCCUGUCGAGCCUGUUUGGCUGCUGUUUUGGGCUUGCGCACGCUUAUCCGGCGAUCCGAGGCUGUCCUGAUGCCUCCGGAGGUGAGCACGGUGAUCGUGGGUCAGUUCUGAUCACAGUGCUCAUCUCACUUUGGAUCAACAGUGUCCGGUUAGCCCUGUUUGGAGCAAUCUUCCCCGACUGCGCGCUGUUCGCUGAACCUUCGGGUUGCUCCCGCGCUUCCCACAGUGACCUGUUGCGCUCCAGACCAUGAGCACGGCCUCCGGUACAUCGAGACCUAUCAGUAUGUGUCUCAGCUGAACUUAGAAAUCCUCGGUUUGCGUGUACGGGCUAUGUUAUCGCCCGAUUUACAUAAAAUAUUGGGAUUUUAUGUAAAUUCAGGGGCUUUUGUGCAAUUGUGAGCCUUGGGGCUACUGUGGACAGUGUGUAGACAUGUGUGGUGUCCUCUGGACUGAUUGUCCAUGAUCCGUUAGCUUUUGCAGAAAUCGAAGAGUCGAUUUCGAUGCGUUUUUCGGCGAAAUUCGCCGAAAGAACGCGGUUUUGGUUCGGAUUUCUUCCGACGUCGUUUGGUUGCUCUGUGAGUGGUCGAUAAGCCUUGUCGGCUGGUCACCAUCAUCACCUUGUGGGUUCGGUGAUGACCGGUGAGCGACGGUGGGUUCCGGUGUCGAAUUUGACACUUCCGGAAACCCGUAUUCGUACAAUUAUCCGGCGAUAAUUGUGUCGUGGUGUUACCUUAUGUUUGCUGCCAAAACAUCCAAAUUGGAGUGUUUUGUGGCAGCGGGUGACUUGUAGCAUGGGUCGGUGCGUUCCGGGACAUUUCAGUGGUCCCGACGGAGUCCCGGUGCGAUUUUCGGGACUUCCGGCGAGUUACGAUAGUCGGUUUUGAGAAACUGAUUGACAUGGCUGCAGCCUAGCUUCAUGGGUGGACAUGUUGACAGCGCGGACAGAGGACUGACGUUUUCUUGCAGUUGUCCUGGAUUCCUCCCAGGUGACCCAAUCACAGAUUGGGUGUUGAUUCUUUGUGAUGUAGUAUUAGGGAGAUUGUUUGGGUGCCUCNAUCUUCUCCAUUUUAGCUCAUUUUCGCCCGAAACUUGACGAGUGCUUAUGUAAUUAAAUUACACACAUAAACAUCAUCAACAGAGAGUUUAGUAGCACUGUCAAAAAUCUCAGUCCUUACAGUAGGGUUUGUGUGCUAUUAGGAGCACAAAGGCUUUCGUACUCGUAAGUCGUUUUUUAUGAUGGAACUUUCAAAUCGACGAUCGGCUCUAUUAGACUUGAUCUAGCAUGCAUAUUUGAAAUAUCUAGAAAAUAAAUUUUGUGAUCUUUCGAUAUCAUUUACCUAGCGAUUAAAAGGGUUCAAAAUCAAUAAUUUUUAAAAGUUGAUAUAUAUCGUUUGCAAAUUUAACGGUGUAGAAGUAUUGAAAUUAAAUAAAAUUUUGAUAAAAAAAUUUUUACACUAUUUACUGCAAGAUUAAUACCUCUUAUCGAAAGUUUUAGUGUUAUAUCACCACUUUUUGUGAGAUUUUUAUUUUCAGCCUUUGAUUUUAAACCCUUUCGAUCGCUAGGUAAAUAAUAUCAAAAAAUCGCAAAAUUUAUUUUCGAAAUACUUCAAAUACGCCAGAUCAAAUCUAACAGAGCCGAUCGUUGAUUUGGAAGCUCCAUCAUCGAAAACGGCCUCCGUGCUUGUAAUAGCACAAUAGACCUACUCUCUCUCUCUCUCUCUCUCUCUCUCUCUCUCUCUCUCUCUAUAUAUAUAUAUAUAUAUAUAUAUAUAUAUAUAUGUAUUUUGUUUCAUAAAAGAUAAUUAAUAAAUUAUAUUUUGAUUUUCAAACCAUGAUUACAAGGACUUAAAUGCACAGUAUAGGAAAUGUACUUAUGUAUUCGGUGCAGGCAAUAGUUUUUCAGUUUAAAAUGGUCUCCAAAUAUUUAAAAAGCUCGAAGAUACAUACAAAUUUUUAAAAAAUUCGAACUCAAAAAAGAAUAUGAAGAAGAAAUGUACUAAUUAUGUAUUCGGUGCAAGCAAUAGUUUUUUAGUUUAAAAUGGUCUCCAAAUAUUUAAAAGUUUGAAGAUACAAAUUUUCAAAAAAUUCGAACUCAAAAAAAGAAUAAAACUGUUAUAUUACAUCCUUUAUGUGCUAAUGUGUAAAUUUUUUUGAUAAAACAAAUAAAUAAGUGAGAUCAUUAUGAUUUCAAAACCAUUAAUUUUCUUUCAAAUAAAUUUUUUUUUUGAGUAUCCUACAAACCUGUUUCUAUAUUUAGAUUUGCAUAAACUUCACCAUAUUUUAGUUCCCAAACUUCUAAAUUUAAUAUUUUGGACUUUAGAAUCCUUUAAAAAAUAUUUUUUCACUUUUAGUCUUUGUAAUUGUUUACUAUAGAGGAGAAACUAUUGCACAUGUCCAGUGCAUUUAUCGACUUGUGCAAUAUUUAUUUAUCAACUCUUAUAUAUGCGACAUUUUGUUAUUUAGAAAUUAAAUUUUUAACUUACAAAUGUGUGAUAGGAGAAGACCGGAUGGAUUUAUAGUGACCAGGGGAAACUUCAAAUACUCCCCCUGUGGUUUCGCACUUUCUCAUUUUAAUAUCCUGUGGUUUAAAGUGUAUCAAGUUAGUAUCCCGUAGUUUCACACUUUUUCACUUCAGUACCCUGUGGAUUCAAGUGUAUCAAGUUAGUACCCUGUGAUUCCGCACUUUCUCACUUUAGUACCAUGUGGUUUAAUAUUUCGUUAAAUUAUAUAUCUCGAAAUUGAUAAUAAAAAGAAAAAAUUGAAACCACUGGGUACUAACUUGAUACAAAAAUAAAAUCACGCGAUACUAACUUGAUACACUUGAAACCACAGAGUUACUAAAGUGAGAAAAUACGAAACCACAUGGUACUAACUUGAUAAACUUUAACUACAAGGUACUAAAAUAAGAAAGUGCAAAACCACGGAGGGGUAUUUGAAGUUUUCCCUAGUGACAAUAUAGGUACCCGCGCGUUGCGGCGGAUUAAUAUCGAAAAAAAAUAAAUAAGUAAAAUUAAAAAACAACAAAACGAAAAAGAGUCAAAAAUAAAAAAAUUAAAAAAAUAAACUGAAGAAGAAGCAGCUAUUUCAGUAAAAGUAUAAGAAUAAAAAUAUAAGAAAAAUAAAAAAAUAAAAAAUUAUAAGAAUAAUAAAUUAUAUUUAUAGUAGCAGUAAAAAUCUAUACCCAUACAUUAAUCCCAAAAAAAAUGUCACGUGUCUGUAUAUCCUUUAUUUUGGACUUCACAUUGCGAAACUAACCCUUCGCCUUCCCUCCGAUUAUAACGUCUAAUUAAUGGUCCACCCACUUUAGCCCACUUUAACCAAACCCUUCACCUUUCCUAUGUACAUAACGUUUAAUUAAUGAUCUAUCCACCUUAACCCUAAUCUAAACCGUAAAUCAUAGAAAUCCAUGCAAAAGUCCCCUUCUCUCCUUCUUUACUUUCUUUUCCUCCUCCAUGGGCUCCGAGGCUAAAAUCGAGCAUCAGCUAUAGACGGAUGAUGAGUUUAUAUGCUGCAUGCAUCGCUGAGUUUGGCGCUGUCAUCUUCAUCAAAUCGAGCCUUCCUCCAAAUUUUAGAAGUUCUUUUAAAAGAUUUACAUAUUUUUUUUGUUGUAGUGUUAAAAUUUCUUAGGUAGCUUUAGUCAGUUUUUCCAAAUUUAACACUUUGAUUGUUUUAAUUUAUAAAAUAUUAAUUUUUAUUGAACAUUUUAUCUAAAUCUCUCCCAAAUAGUAUAUCACUUUUUGGCUCAAUAGGUUGACAUACUUAUUAUAUUUUUAUGAGCAUUUUGUUACUAAUCGGUUUCAGCAGAUUAAUAUACUUUUACAAGAAGUCAAUAUAUUUGGACUAUUUUAAUUUUUAAAAUAAUGACAAAUUUUUGAUAUAUUAGUUAGACAUUAAAUUUAUUUUAGUGGUAUCUACCCGCCGGAGCAUGCGGGUUACUACACUAGUUAGCUCAUUAAUCUACAAAAGAUCAUUAUUAUUUAUAUCUAACAAUUACGUGCCUAGAAAAUAGCUUAAUUACAGCGUUAAUUAAUCUCCAUCUCUUUCUUUUUUAUUGUUUAAACUGAAGGGGCCAAAAAUCUAAAAUUAGCUUAGGGACUGUUUGGUUUGAGUAAAACUGCGGAAAAAAAAUUUCGGUGGAAAAAAAAUUUUCGGAGGAAAAUAAAUUUUACGCUCUUAGCGUUUGGUUUGUAGGAAAAAAAAAAAAAUUUUGCAUCGCUGUUGUUUGAUUGAAAGGAAAGAAAAGAAAAAGAAGGGAAAAUUUAGUUAUAAAUAAAAAAUUAAUAUAUAUAUAUAUAUAUAUAUAUAUAUAUAUAUAUAUAUAUAUAUAUAUAUAUAUAUAUAAUAAUUAUCAUAUUACUAAUAUUAUAAAUUAUAUUUGUAAAUAAAAUAUGUUUAAAAUAUAUUGUACAAUAAGUAUAUAAUAAUAUUUAUAAUAUAAUAGUAUAUAUAUAUAUAUAUAUAUAUAUAAUAUAAUAUAUAUAUAUAUAUAUUUAAUACUAAUAAAUAAAUUUAAUAAAUAAUAUUUAUAAUAUAUAUAUAAAUAUAUAUAUAUAUAUAUAGAGAGAGAGAGAGAGAGAGAGAGAACCGGCUAUGGUGGCUUGUAAAAGCACGAAAUAUUUGGUGUUGUGUAAAUUUUUUACCAUUAGAUUUAUGCCUUUGAUCAUUUUCAACCGUUAGAUUAUACUAUUCAACCAACCACCACACUCAACUCUAGGAGGCCCACGUCAUCCUAACUGCACAUUGCUUAAUCCAAUGCUAAAAAUCUACAAGCACCAACAACUUGUACUUUUAAAAGCAUAGGAGCUCAAUUCUCUCUUUAUAUAUAUAUAUAUAUAUAUAUAUAUAUAUAUAUUAUAUAUAUAUAAUAUAUAUAGUCUCCUAUACUAUCUAUAGUACCGGAGCUCUGGUACUAUAGUCCAUUUUCAAUCUUAGGGUGUUCAAAUCAACGAUCCACACCGUUAAAACUGAUCUAGAGUAUUUAAAGUUUUAGAAAUAAAAUUUUAUAUUUUUCGACAUAGUUUAAUUACUUUAUGAUCAAACUAUUUCAAAAUUGUUAAUUUUCAAUGCUACUAUGGUGAGUUUGGAGUUUACGGUGUAAAGAAUCUAAAUUUCUUCAAAUUUUGAUAGAAAAUACUUUAAACUAUCAAGAUUAAGGUUAACAUUCUUGAUCUUGAAUUUAAAAGUUCUAUACUCAAUUUAAAGAUUAUUCAAUUUUUACCGUUCAUUUUGACAUAAUUUAUUUACUAAGUAACAGUGUCCAAAAAACCUAAAAUUUUAUUUCUAAGAACUUCAUAUGCCCUAAAUCAGUUUUAACGGUGUGGAUUAUUAAUUUGAACACACCUAAGAUCGAAAACAACACUAUAGUACCGAAGCUCUGAUACUAUAGAUGGUAAUGUAGCCUAAUUCUAUUAUAUAUAUAUAUAAGUUAGCUAUGAUACUUUUACAAGUAUCACCAUCAUGGUGCUAUUAGUUUUAAGCUAUUGGAUCUACUUUUUGAUUAUUAAUAGCCCUUGGAUUAAACACUAUUCCACCUACCACCACCUACCACCACCUACCACCAUCAUCUCAACCUCACAUCUCUCCAUCCAAAGCUAAAAACACACAAGUAUCACUUGGGUGAUACUUGAAAAGUAUUCUAGGCCCUAGCUAUAUAUAUAUAUAUAUAUAUAUAUAUGUGUGUGUGUGUGUGUGUGUGUGUGUGUGUGUGUGGAGUGGACCACUCACAUGGUCCACGAGCUCUUAUAUGAGCUCGUUGAGGACUAAAAUAUCAUAUGCCUCAUAGUUCAAGUUAGAAUUUGCAGCUAAUUAAAAUUUAAGGAGUAAAGUGUCACGUGUCUCGUAGUUUUAGUUAAAAAUUAUAACGCAUUAAAAUUCGAGAACUACUAUGUUACAUGUCUUAUAGUUUGAUGAGCGAAAGUGUAAUUUAUUUUUUUUAUGUAUAAUUUUUAUUCCAAACGAAGACAAAGUUGAGUAGCGAUCAAUUUUGUUUAAUUAGUAAUUUCAUUCGAGAAAGAACCUAUAUAACUAUAGAAUAAAUUUUGGAAUGCCUAAUUAUUAAAAAUAGAAGUCGAUCAAUCAUAUUUUAGAUAUUACAAAAAAGUUUAAAUAUGAAGUUAAUCGCUUAUCGGACUAGAAAUAUGACAUUAAAAUUUGAUAUUAAAAUCAAAGUAAAAAUAUAUAGAACCUUGAACCAUUUUAAAUUAGUAUAUCCAAUCUUUCAAAAUUUUAUUUUGCUUUACAAUCUUUCAAUAUAUUAGAUUUAAGUCAGUAAUAGUAUUUUGAUUUUAAAAUUUGAAUAUAUUAUUUAUCUUUACAAAUUUAGUUAAUAUACUUUAUACAAUUCUCGCAAAUAAACUUAUUAAAAUAAAUAAUUAACCUAAACUCCAUCAAUCUUUUUUUUAUGUUUUAUUGUGCAAUCUAUAUCUAAGUAAUUAAUACUAUAAAACUAAAAUUUAUAUUUAAUAUAUAUACAAUUUAAGUUAUUUAAAAAUUAUAGCUAAAAAAUUAUAUAUUUUAAAUUUUUAUAAUGAGAAAGAGAAGAGAAUUAGACUGAAUUAAAAAAGAAAUAGGCCCGAUUCCUCGUGCUCUCCUACCCAAAAAUCAGUGAAGAGAGGAAAAAUAAGAAAAAUUAAGAUAAAAAAAGAUCCCCAACCCCCCUAAUUAAGAUAAAAAAAUUAAGAUAAAAAAGAAUAAUUAAGGUUGAAUAACAAAUAAUAUGUAUAGAAUUUCUUUGAAUGAUAAAUUAUUUUAAUCUAACUAUCUAAUAUUUUAAAAUUUUAAUUUAAGUAACUAAUCUUUUAAUUUGGGUACAAAAAUUUAAGCUAAUUACUUUUGAUACAACACAUUCGAAAUUUACAGCUAAAAUAUUAUUAAUCGAUUCAGACCAAACAAAUUAUAAAUUAGCUAGCAAAAUUAGAAAUUCCAAAGAUUUGGUAGUCAAAUAAAAAUGUUAAUAAUUGAGACAAAUUCUCUAUGUUUUCAUUCUCAAAAUAAAUAGGUAAUGCUUUGUCUAGCCUCAUUAGGAAAAAUAUUUUUAAUCUAGUCUGUUUUCAAAAAUAUUUCUAAUCUAGUCUAAUUUUUAUGGAUUAGAAAAAAAAAUAUGUUAAUAACUUUUAUGUAAAUUUAUGUGUUAAUUAAAAGAGAGAUUAUUUUUUUCUCUCUCCUCUCCCAUCUUCAUCUUCCAAGACCUUUCUCUCACUCCCUCUCUCUCUCUCUCUCUCUCUCUUCCCUCACACAUUUUCUCUCCCCCCUCCCCCACACACACUCUCUCUUUAAUAUUUAAUAAUAAUUAAUUUUUAUUAUAAUAAUAAUAAUUAAAAAUUAAUAUUUAAUAUCUAAUAAUAAUAAUAAAUAGUAUUAUUACUAUAUUGUAAAUUUUUAUUAUUACUAUUAUUAUUACUACUAUUAUUACUAAUUUUUAAUUUGGCCUUAUAGUUUUAUCAAAUAUAGUCAAUUUUAUAGCAUAUCUGCUGUAUAGUUAUAUCAUUUUAUUUUUAUGUAAUUUAUAGUCGUAUCUUAAUUUGAAUGUACAGUUUUAUUGGUUGUUUAAUAACAUCAAUUAUAUAGUCAAAUUAAUAUUAAUAAUAUUAGUAAUAAUAAUAGUAAUAAUAAAAAGUUAUAAUUUAGUACUAAUUCUAUUUAUUAUUACUAGUGAAGUUAUCCGUUCAUUGCGGUGGCUGAUGCUAUGAAAAUUUUGACAAAGUAAAAAAUUUUAAAAUUUUUGACUUGUCAUGAGAUACCAAAAAUACAAAUAGAAGAUAUGAAACAGAUAUAGUAAAAUUUAUAAUUUCAGCAAAUAAAUUACAAAUAAUAAUAAUAAAAGAAACGACAAUAGAACACUAUUUUAUACGCACCUUAAUCUCGCUGUCGAUAUCAGGGAGGCGAAUCCUGAUCCAUGCCACAUUUGCUACCGUUGUCAGUAUCGAGCUUCUUCUUGGUCACAGUCACGUCGAUUCCGUACAGAUCUUCCCAGACCAACCGUUUCUUCCCCGUCAUCGACUUCAAAUUCAUUUUUAGUUCCCCCCAUCGUGUCGUGCCAUGAUCCUUAUAACCCUAAUUUCAUCCCCACUCAAUUAAAAAAUAAUUAAGAAAAGUAUAAAAUAUGAAUCUUUUUUGUGUCCUUUCUAUAAAAAAAAAAAAUUUGUUUCUUUUGUGAAAUUGAUUUGUUUACAUGAUAAUGAAUCAUGUGAACAUAUUAAUUAAAAAGUGGGCUGGUAAUAAAAUGAAACAUUAGUGAUGAAAAAUAAUAAAUUCAAUUAUUAGGAAAAGAAAAGAAGGUAAGGGUGAAGGAGGUGAAGGAGGCAUUGUUACAUGGCAAAAUUUAUAAAAAAUAAUGUAUAGAUAUAAAUAGAUAUAAAUUAUUANGUGUGGGUGUAUGGGUGGGGAGGGAGGAGAGAGACUGCUGCUUAAGAGGGAGGGAGAGAAAGAGGGGAAAAGGUGUGGUUGGUGAGGACUGAGGAGAGAGAGAGGGGUCUUGGAAGAUGGGAGAGCGAAGAGAAAAAAAAUAAUAUAUCUCAAUUAACAUAUAAUUUAUAUAAAAAUUAUUAAUUUAUUUUUUUU
rnacentral:lncRNA from 1 species